rnacentral:rRNA from 1 species
UGAGCAAUCUGCCCUUCUCUUCGGAAUAAGCGUGGGAAACCGCGUCUAAUGCCGAAUACGACCUCCUUUCGCAUGAUCGGAGGUGGAAAGCUCCGGCAGAGAAGGAUGAGCUCGCGGCCUAUCAGCUAGUUGGUGUGGGUAAUGGCCCACCAAGGCGACGACGGGUAGCCGGCCUGAGAGGGUGACCGGCCACACUGGGACUGAGACACGGCCCAGACCUCCUACGGGAGGCAG